GGAGGUGUCAGGAUGACUCACUCAGGGGAAUCUGGAUGCAAAGGGAGCAGGCUAAGCAGAUGGGGAAAAGGCAGGGCAGCCAGCAUAGGGCCAGAGUCUGAAGAACCCAGACAGACUCCAAGUAAAUUAGAUUUACUCUGGCAGCAGCAGGGAGCCAUGAAUGGCUUCAGAGCAGGUGCAGGACACAGCUCUCACCACCAGCUCUGCAAGUUGGCCUGGCACAGCUCAACUUGUGUCCCCAAGGACUCAAGAGUGCCCACAUUAAAAGUGUGCAUGUUAAAAUAUCAGAUAAAAGGGAUAAAUACAACGUAUAUUGCAUGAUCCCAAUUUGGUGGAAAAACAUACAUGAAGGCGUGACGCUGCCAACCAGUGCACAGAUGCUACACCCUGUCCUGUGAAGCUAUGAAGAACCAAGAAAUGUCACGCAAACAUUACACACAGGGUGGUUUCCAGGAAGGAGAAGGCCCUCCAACCAAGCACUGUCUGGCCAUGCCUGAGCUUUUGUGCAGCCUCUUCAGGCUGGAACAGUGUCUGCGCCAGGCCCAGACAUGGUGUGCACUCAGCAGGUGGAAGUUGUUAUCCCUGGCCACCAUCAGGGAGCUGAAGUCUUUAGUGACUUGAGGAGGGAGUCAUGGACACCUGCGUGAAGACCACAGCUCCAUCACUUCUUCUCAAACAAGCUCAGUUUGGUAUAGAAACAUAUAAAUGGAGCUGAAGAGAGGCCCUUCAAUAUUCGCUUCAUCCAGGGAGUCAGGAGACAUACGAGUGGAAGUGAGGUGGCGGGUACCAGCAGAUUUGGCCUUUUCUGAAAGAACUGUGCAGGCAUGGGAAAGAGUCCUAGCAGAUGCAAUAAUAAAUUAAUAAAGAGGAGGAAAUGGGAC
rnacentral:lncRNA from 10 species